rnacentral:rRNA from 1 species
UACGGAAGGUCCGGGCGUUAUCCGGAUUUAUUGGGUUUAAAGGGGGCGCAGGGCGAUUGGUAAGCGUGACGUGAAAUGUAGCCGCUCAACGGCUGAGUUGCGUCGCGAACUGCCGAUCUUGAGUGAGUUCGAUGUAGGCGGAAUUCGUGGUGUAGCGGUGAAAUGCUUAGAUAUCACGAAGAACCCCGAUUGCGAAGGCAGCCUACAAGGCCUUUACUGACGCUAAAGCUCGAAGGUGCGGGUAUCGAAC